ACCCUUUUCUGGUUUGUAAGUGUGAUGGUUGGUACUCAGUCUUUUGUACAUUAUGCGCACCCAGUAAGCCUUGUUACCUUGUGGGUAUGUUAUUGGUCUGAAG